AGAUGAAUGGGAAUAAAACCCACUGGGAGGAUACUGCAUGGAAGGACAUACAGAAAUAUGAAAGAAGAAAAGUCCCAAGGACAGAAGCAGGAGACAAAGAAUGGAGGAUGGUAGAGAAAAGGGAGCAGAAUUUCUUGUCUCAUUCAGUAUUACUCAGAUGAUGUAGCUGUGCCAAACAACCCCCCAAUUUCUCCAAGCUCAUCAUCAGAAGCAAGCUCCCCACAGACCAGGAUACACCAACUCAAAGCAGUGCCAGAUCCUGCCAGAACAACAGAUGCAAAACCUGCAGCCAUAUCUCCACAGCCACCACGGGUGGCGGGUAUCAUAGGCUGAGGAAGGCUGUUCCUCCCCAAACAGGCAGGGCCAAGUGUUCUGCAGGUGUGGAGGGGGCACCCCUCAAGGCUGCAAUGGCAGCAACUGCUGAUAAAAACAGACAGAUGUAUCAUUAGAUUUACAGUGACAACACAAAGGGAAACGAACGUAUGUGUAAAGAAGUGUGAAGGCCAUUGCUGAGCCAGAUGUCUGAGGGAGGAACUGGAGACAGACGCAAGGGUACCAGGAGGCUGCAACACAUCCCUAUUGAAAUGUCAGAGGAGGGCAGAUUGACAACUCUAAAGGUGAGACAUACACCUAUCAAUGGGGACAAAAUACCUGUGAUAAAGAAUGAGAAGGACAAUUUAAGAAAACAAGCACUUGUCAAACAACAAUUGAUUACAGCAUGAUGGUGCAAAACUCAUUAGUCCCAAUUAAGGAAAAUCCCUAUAUAAACAGGGGGCCUUGCCAUGAAACUUUAGGUUCGUCCUGCCAAGACUUCCCUGGAGCCAGGGCCGGUGUAACCACUAGGCAGCCGCUUAGGGCGCCAAGAUUUGGGGUUGCCAAAAAGUGGUGCCCCCCAAUUUUUUUUACACUAUUUCUGGGAAAUGAAUGAAUAAAGAAAAGAGAAACGUUGUUGAACUUGCAUUUUAACUUGUCGUUCUCUAGUACAUUACAGCUAUAGCCUAUGCCAGCUCUGCGUUGUGGGCACAAGCGUAUUGCUUCACUAUGGUACAAAGUGGCACUGACGUCAUUUUUUCUCAUCACGUGCAGCCAUUACCCGUUCUGACAGGCUGUUUAUCAUGCUACGUUUACUAGUUUUUGGAGGCUGUUGACUGAGGCUAACUUUUUGUUGAGUUGUUUCAGAUCUAAGACUCUGGCAAUUGCUGCUGUAUCAUUUUCGCUAAUACUUUUGUCAAUUGUGUGUGUGUAUGUUUAUCAUGUACAAAUAUCCAGGUGUAGGUUGUUGAAAUUUGUCAUAUUGAUAUUGUCAGUUGUUAUGACAGAGUAUCCACCAUUCUAAUUUUAUUAAUAACAAUAAUUGGAUAUUCUAAAGGUAGAAUAAAAUGUAGUAGAUCCUUAUAUGAAGGAAGGAAGUAUACGUCACUAAAAGGAUGGAUUCCGAUUACAAUCGACAUUGCUUAAUUUUAAGAAAAGUCAUCUUGAUCUCUUAAUCAACAUUUACAUCAAACAGUUGAUAGUCAAACAGUGACUCAUAGUAAGUGACAUGUAUUCUCUAACCUUUACUUUUAAUAGUGAACAAGAAAAAGAACUGAUAGGAAUAAAAUUUCUUUUUUUGUUUUCAGUUGAUGCAGCCUCAUGGCAGAUAGAGGAGAAAUUUGUUGAUUAAAAACAUACAUGCGAACAUCAAUGUUGCAACAAAGACUUUGUUGGGCUAUCUACCUGGUCAAUAGAACAUGACAUUGCUUGCAGCAUUGACUUGGAGGAACUUUGUUUCUAAAUUUGCUAAACUGAAAGCGUGGAAAAAUAAAUUCUAAAUUAUAACGUGUUACUCUGUGACCAUGUAUUGUGUAUAAUGUAUGAUUUAUUUCAAGAACCAUGCUAUGUUGUGCAAAGUGAAAACAAUAACAAUGUCAACGCUGUCCAGGUCAUUCAUUUAUUUUCAUUAAAUAUGUAGACUAAUGAAAUUUUCAAGCUGAACAUGUAUUAAUUCUAAUGAAUACCACAUUAUGCACUAUUCAUUUUUGAAAGUUUACAAUAAGCAAUGCUUUGGGGGAGGGGGGACGUAAAGUGGAAGUUUUGCCUAGGGUGCAAAAUAUCCUUGCACCAGCCCUGCCCAGAGAAUCAUGUCACAACUGAUGGAACCCAGCUCCUCCCUACCCAUGAUCAACCUAGCUGGCCGCUAGAUUGAUCUGGACUGGUAACUAUAACAUUGACUGACUGGCAGA